rnacentral:rRNA from 1 species
GCCUGCAUGAAGCCGGAAUCGCUAGUAAUCGCGGAUCAGAAUGUCGCGGUGAAUAACGUUCCCGGGGUCUUGUACACACCGCCCGUCACACCAUGGGAGUCGGAUAUGCCCGAAGUCUGUGACCCAACGAAAGAGGGAGCAGCCGAAGGCAGGUCUGAUAACUGGGGUGAAGUCGUAACAAGGUAUC